AAUAUUUUUUUAUGUCAAAAAAGGCUUGACCUUUUGACCUAUUUAUGUCAAAACACUUUUGUUGAACUCAGCUUACCCCCCUACACAUUGCACAAAGCUUAUUUUUUUU